GAUGAACGCUGGCGGCGUGCCUAAUACAUGCAAGUAGAACGCUGAGGUUUGGUGUUUACACUAGACUGAUGAGUUGCGAACGGGUGAGUAACGCGUAGGUAACCUGCCUCAUAGCGGGGGAUAACUAUUGGAAACGAUAGCUAAUACCGCAUAAGAGUAAUUAACACAUGUUAGUUAUUUAAAAGGAGCAAUUGCUUCACUGUGAGAUGGACCUGCGUUGUAUUAGCUAGUUGGUGAGGUAAAGGCUCACCAAGGCGACGAUACAUAGCCGACCUGAGAGGGUGAUCGGCCACACUGGGACUGAGACACGGCCCAGACUCCUACGGGAGGCAGCAGUAGGGAAUCUUCGGCAAUGGACGGAAGUCUGACCGAGCAACGCCGCGUGAGUGAAGAAGGUUUUCGGAUCGUAAAGCUCUGUUGUUAGAGAAGAACGUUGGUAGGAGUGGAAAAUCUACCAAGUGACGGUAACUAACCAGAAAGGGACGGCUAACUACGUGCCAGCAGCCGCGGUAAUACGUAGGUCCCGAGCGUUGUCCGGAUUUAUUGGGCGUAAAGCGAGCGCAGGCGGUUCUUUAAGUCUGAAGUUAAAGGCAGUGGCUUAACCAUUGUACGCUUCGGAAACUGGAGGACUUGAGUGCAGAAGGGGAGAGUGGAAUUCCAUGUGUAGCGGUGAAAUGCGUAGAUAUAUGGAGGAACACCGGUGGCGAAAGCGGCUCUCUGGUCUGUAACUGACGCUGAGGCUCGAAAGCGUGGGGAGCAAACAGG
rnacentral:rRNA from 1 species